AACGUAGGGUGCGAGCGUUAUCCGGAUUCACUGGGUGUAAAGCGCGCGCAGGUGGUCUCGUAAGUUGGGCGUGAAAUCUCUCGGCUUAACUGGGAGAGGCCGUUCAAUACUGCGAGGCUUGAGGGCAGGAGAGGGAGGUGGAAUUCCCGGUGUAGUGGUGAAAUGCGUAGAUAUCGGGAGGAACACCAGUGGCGAAGGCGGCCUCCUGGCCUGCUCCUGACACUGAGACGCGAAAGCUAGGGGAGCGAACGGGAUUAGAAACCCCGGUAGUCCUAGCUGUAAACGAUGGAUGCUAGGUGUCGGUGGUAUUGACCCCAUCGGUGCCGAAGCUAACGCGUUAAGCAUCCCACCUGGGGACUACGGCCGCAAGGUUAAAACUCAAAGGAAUUGACGGGGCCCCGCACAAGCAGCGGAGCGUGUGGUUUAAUUCGAUGCUACGCGAAGAACCUUACCCGGGUUUGACAUGCAGGUAGUAGUGAAGCGAAAGCGGAACGACCCUUCGGGGAGCCUGUACAGGUGCUGCAUGGCUGUCGUCAGCUCGUGCCGUGAGGUGUUAGGUUAAGUCCUGUAACGAGCGCAACCCCUGUCGUCAGUUACAUGUGUCUGGCGAGACUGCCGGUUGUAAACCGGAGGAAGGCGGGGACGACGUCAAGUCAGCAUGGCCUUUAUAUCCGGGGCUACACACACGCUACAAUGGCCGGUACAAUGGGUCGCCAAGCCGUGAGGCGGAGCCAAUCCUCUAAAGCCGGUCUCAGUUCGGAUUGCAGGCUGCAACCCGCCUGCAUGAAGUUGGAGUUGCUAGUAACCGCGCGUCAGCCAUAGUGCGGUGAAUACGUUCCCGGGGCU
rnacentral:rRNA from 1 species